UCCCUGCUCAGAUUGAACGCUGGCGGCAGGCCUAACACAUGCAAGUCGAGCGGUAGAGAGAAGCUUGCUUCUCUUGAGAGCGGCGGACGGGUGAGUAAUGCCUAGGAAUCUGCCUGGUAGUGGGGGAUAACGUUCGGAAACGGACGCUAAUACCGCAUACGUCCUACGGGAGAAAGCAGGGGACCUUCGGGCCUUGCGCUAUCAGAUGAGCCUAGGUCGGAUUAGCUAGUUGGUGAGGUAAUGGCUCACCAAGGCGACGAUCCGUAACUGGUCUGAGAGGAUGAUCAGUCACACUGGAACUGAGACACGGUCCAGACUCCUACGGGAGGCAGCAGUGGGGAAUAUUGGACAAUGGGCGAAAGCCUGAUCCAGCCAUGCCGCGUGUGUGAAGAAGGUCUUCGGAUUGUAAAGCACUUUAAGUUGGGAGGAAGGGCAGUAAAUUAAUACUUUGCUGUUUUGACGUUACCGACAGAAUAAGCACCGGCUAACUCUGUGCCAGCAGCCGCGGUAAUACAGAGGGUGCAAGCGUUAAUCGGAAUUACUGGGCGUAAAGCGCGCGUAGGUGGUUCGUUAAGUUGGAUGUGAAAUCCCCGGGCUCAACCUGGGAACUGCAUUCAAAACUGACGAGCUAGAGUAUGGUAGAGGGUGGUGGAAUUUCCUGUGUAGCGGUGAAAUGCGUAGAUAUAGGAAGGAACACCAGUGGCGAAGGCGACCACCUGGACUGAUACUGACACUGAGGUGCGAAAGCGUGGGGAGCAAACAGGAUUAGAUACCCUGGUAGUCCACGCCGUAAACGAUGUCAACUAGCCGUUGGGAGCCUUGAGCUCUUAGUGGCGCAGCUAACGCAUUAAGUGACCGUC
rnacentral:rRNA from 1 species